UCCAACUUAUCGCUGGCGGUCUCCUGCGAGUUCCCAACUGAAUGAUGGCAACACAGGACAAGGGUUGCGCUCGUUGCGGGACUUAACCCAACAUCUCACGACACGAGCUGACGACAGCCAUGCAGCACCUGUGUCUAGGUUCCCUUUCGGGCACACCCGCAUCUCUGCGAGCUUCCUAGCAUGUCAAGGGUAGGUAAGGUUGUUCGCGUUGCAUCGAAUUAAUCCACAUCAUCCACCGCUUGUGCGGGUCCCCGUCAAUUCCUUUGAGUUUUAAUCUUGCGACCGUACUCCCCAGGCGGUCAACUUCACGCGUUAGCUGCGGUACCAAGAACUUGCGCUCCCAACACCUAGUUGACAUCGUUUAGGGCGUGGACUAC
rnacentral:misc_RNA from 1 species